GUGGGGUAACGGCCUACCAAGGCUAUGACGGGUAGCUGACGUGAGAGCGUGAGCAGCCACACUGGGACUGAGACACGGCCCAGACUCCUACGGGAGGCAGCAGUGGGGAAUAUUGCGCAAUGGGCGAAAGCCUGACGCAGCGACGCCGCGUGGGGGAGGAAGGCCUUAGGGUUGUAAACCCCUGUCAGGUGGGACGAACCCCGGGUCGGUGAAUAAUCGGCUCGACUGACGGUACCACCAGAGGAAGCUCCGGCUAACUCCGUGCCAGCAGCCGCGGUAAUACGGAGGGAGCGAGCGUUGUUCGGAAUCACUGGGCGUAAAGGGCGCGUAGGCGGCCGAGUAAGUCGUGUGUGAAAGACCGGGGCUCAACUCUGUGUACUGCAUGCGAUACUGCCCGGCUAGAGAAAGGUAGAGGCGAGUGGAAUUCCCGGUGUAGCGGUGGAAUGCGUAGAUAUCGGGAAGAACACCUGUGGCGAAGGCGGCUCGCUGGGCCUUUUCUGACGCUGAGGCGCGAUAGCGUGGGGAGCAAACAGGAUUAGGUACCCUGGUAGUCCACGCCGUAAACGAUGGGCACUAGGCGUCGGGGGGAGCGACCCUCUCGGUGCCGUCGCUAACGCAGUAAGUG
rnacentral:rRNA from 1 species